UACGGGGGGAGCAAGCGUUGUUCGGAUUUACUGGGCGUAAAGGGCGCGUAGGCGGUCGUGACAAGUCACUUGUGAAAUCUCCGGGCUUAACUCGGAACGGUCAAGUGAUACUGUCGUGCUAGAGUACAGAAGGGGCAACUGGAAUUCUCGGUGUAGCGGUGAAAUGCGCAGAUAUCGAGAGGAACACCUGCGGCGAAGGCGGGUUGCUGGGCUGAUACUGACGCUGAGGCGCGAAAGCCAGGGGAGCGAACGGG
rnacentral:rRNA from 1 species